UGGGGAAUUUUGGACAAUGGGGGAAACCCUGAUCCAGCCAUCCCGCGUGUGCGAUGAAGGCCUUCGGGUUGUAAAGCACUUUUGGCAGGAAAGAAACGUCGCGGGUUAAUACCCCGCGAAACUGACGGUACCUGCAGAAUAAGCACCGGCUAACUACGUGCCAGCAGCCGCGGUAAUACGUAGGGUGCAAGCGUUAAUCGGAAUUACUGGGCGUAAAGCGUGCGCAGGCGGUUCGGAAAGAAAGAUGUGAAAUCCCAGAGCUUAACUUUGGGAACUGCAUUUUUAACUACCGGGCUAGAGUGUGUCAGAGGGAGGUGGAAUUCCGCGUGUAGCAGUGAAAUGCGUAGAUAUGCGGAGGAACACCGAUGGCGAAGGCAGCCUCCUGGGAUAACACUGACGCUCAUGCACGAAAGCGUGGGGAGCAAAGCAGGAUUAGAUACCCUGGUAGUCCACGCCCUAAACGAUGUCAACUAGCUGUUGGGGCCUUCGGGCCUUGGUAGCGCAGCUAACGCGU
rnacentral:rRNA from 1 species